rnacentral:rRNA from 1 species
GAAAUUAGCGCUGUGGAACCACCCGAUCCCAUCCCGAACUCGGAAGUGAAACGCAGCUGCGCCAAUGGUAGUGUGGCUCAAGCCAUGCGAGAGUAGGUCAUCGCC